rnacentral:rRNA from 1 species
AGUCAAGCUACUAAGGGCACAUGGGGAAUGCCUUGGCGCCAGAAGCCGAAGAAGGACGNNNNNNNNNNGGAACUCAUCUACUUCGGUAGUUGCCCUAGUCGUGAGACUUGGGCGGUAAGCAGGGGAACUGAAACAUCUAAGUACCCUGAGGAAAGUAAAUCAACCGAGACUCCCCUAGUAGCGGCGAGCGAACGGGGAUCAGCCCAAACCACAUGAGCUUAACGGACUGGAGUCCUAUGCCUUUGUGGUGUUGUAGGGCCAGACUUGAGACCUCUCCAGAGGUCCCGAAGAGUUACAAAAUAUACAUCUAAUCGAACAGUCCUGGAACGGCUGGCCGUAGCGGGUG